rnacentral:rRNA from 1 species
UACGAAGGGGGCUAGCGUUGCUCGGAAUCACUGGGCGUAAAGCGCACGUAGGCGGCUUUGCAAGUCGGUUGUGAAAUCCCCGGGCUCAACCUGGGAACUGCAUCCGAGACUGCAUUGCUAGAGUAUGGGAGAGGAAAGCGGAAUUUCUGGUGUAGCAGUGAAAUGCGUAGAUAUCAGAAGGAACAUCAGUGGCGAAGGCGGCUUUCUGGACCAAUACUGACGAUCAGGUGCGAAAGCGUGGGGAGCAAACAGG